rnacentral:rRNA from 1 species
AGAUCGUGUUUCGGAUGCGGUGAUGGCUCAAGUAUUUUGGAAUGAGACAUCAUAGAGGGUGACAAUCCCGUCUUAGCCGACUCACCAAAUCCAUAUGAAGCACUUUCGAAGAGUCGAGUUGUUUGGGAAUGCAGCUCAAAAUGGGUGGUAAAUUUCAUCUUAAGCUAAAUAUCAGCCAGAGACCGAUAGCGCACAAGUAGAGUAAUCGAAAGAUGAAAAGCACUUUGAAAAGAGAGUCAAAAAGCACGUGAAACUGUUUGGAGGGAAGCGCUUGCAACCAGACUUGCUCGCAGUGUUCAGCCUCCUGACAAGGUGGUGCACUCUCUGCGUAGCGGGCCAACAUCAGUUUCGACGGCCGGACAAAGACUCGGAGAACGUAGCUUUCCUUCGGGGAAGUGUUAUAGCUCCGAGUGUAAUGCGGUCAGUUGGGACUGAGGAACUGCGCUUUUAUGCUAGGAUGUUGGCGUAAUGGUUGUCAGCGACCCGUCUUGAAACACGGACCAAGGAGUCGUAAAGUGGCGCGAGCGUUAGGGUGUUAAACCCCUGCGCGAAAUGAAAGUGAACGUAGGUGGGAGCUUCCGAGUGGAGCGCACCAUCGACCGAUCUGAGUUCGCGAGGAUUUGAGUAUGAGUGUUACUUUACGGACCCGAAAGAAGGUGAACUAUUGCUGACUAGGGUGAAGCCAGAGGAAACUCUGGUGGAGGCUCGCAGCGGUUCUGACGUGCAAAUCGAUCGUCAAAGCUGGCAAUAGGGGCGAAAGACUAAUCGAACCUUCUAGUAGCUGGUUCCUGUCGAAGUUUCCCUCAGGAUAGCAGCAACGAAUAAAACAGUCUCAUGAGGUAGAGCAACGAUUAGAGGCCUUGGGGUUGAAACAACCUUAACCUAUUCUCGAACUCCGAAUAUGUGAGAAGUCCUU